rnacentral:sRNA from 12 species
UUUUGGCGUACAACGAUGGGGACGUGUCCCCGAUGUCGUGCCAAUGGGAAUGAGCCUCAGUAAUAGCGUGAGCAAUCACGGAAAACUGAAAUAUAUAACGUGGGGUAGAGUUUAGUAGGGACAGAAUGUCAGCCGAAAAAGUUAGGCCCC